UUUCCGUAGGUGAACCUGCGGAAGGAUCAUUACUGAGUUAGGGUCUCUAUGGCCCGACCUCCAACCCUUUGUUUAAUCUACCAUGUUGCUUUGGCAGGCCCGCUUAGAAAUGGGCCGCCGGAGACCUUUGAGUCUCUGGUCAGUGCCUGCCGGUAGCCUUUCUAAAUUCAUUUAUAACCGUGUCUGAAUAUACAAAGAAAAAUUAAAAUAAAACUUUCAACAACGGAUCUCUUGGUUCUG
rnacentral:misc_RNA from 1 species